UAGUAAAGGUUCACGGGGUCUUUCCGUCUAGCCGCGGGAACUCUGCAUCUUCACAGAGAUUUCAAUUUCACUGAGUCUUAGGUGGAGACAGUGUGGCCAUCGUUACGCCAUUCGUGCAGGUCGGAACUUACCCGACAAGGAAUUUCGCUACCUUAGGACCGUUAUAGUUACGGCCGCCGUUCACCGAGGCUUCAAUCAGGAGCUUCUCUAAAGAUGACCCCCUCAUUUAACCUUCCGGCACCGGGCAGGCGUCACACCCUAUACUUCCUCUUUUUGAGUUUGCAGAGUGCUGUGUUUUUGAUAAACAGUCGCAGCCACCUGGUAUCUUCGACCAUUCAAAGCUUAAAAAGCUAGUUUUAUCACUAAAAAUGGUGCACCUUCUUCCGAAGUUACGGUGCUAUUUUGCCUAGUUCCUUCACCUAAGUUCUCUCAACGCCUUAGUAUUCUCUACUUGUCUACCUGUGUCGGUUUGGGGUACGAUUUUUUCUUAAAUUAUCUUUUAGAAGUUUUUCCUGUAAGCAUGGCAUCAACUACUUCAAUCUAAAAAAGAUCUCGUCAUCACAUCUUAAUGUUAAAAAAUACCCGGAUUUUCCUAAGUAUUCCAUCUACAUGCUUAAACUUGGACAACCAAUCGCCAAGCUAGUCUAGCCUUCUUCGUCACUCCAUCAAACUUUAAGAAAAAGUACAGAAAUAUUAAUCUGUUAUCCAUCGACUACGCUAUUUAGCCUCAUCUUAGGUAUCGACUCACCCUGCAAUGAUAAACAUUGUGCAGGAAACCUUAGACUUUCGGCGUGUAGGAUUCUCACCUACAUAAUCGUUACUCAUGUCAGCAUUCUCACUUCUGAUACCUCCAAUAUGCUUUACAGCAUAUCUUCAAUGGUCUACAGAACGCUCCCCUACCCAUAUUUUAUUUAUAAUAAUAAAACAUGCCAUAAUUUCGGUGUAUCACUUGAGCCCCGUUAAAUCUUCCGCGCAAGCCAACUUGACCAGUGAGCUAUUACGCUUUCUUUAAAGGAUGGCUGCUUCUAAGCCAACCUCCUGGUUGUCUGUGUUUUCUUACAUCGUUUUCCACUUAGUGAUAACUUAGGGACCUUAAUUGAUGGUCUGGGCUGUUUCCCUCUUCACCACGGAUCUUAGCACCCGUAGUGUGUCUCCUAUAAAACAACUUCACCGUAUUCUUAGUUUGCAUAGGAUCAGUAAGGCACGAAUGCCCCCAUUACCUAAACAGUGCUUUACCCCAGUGAGUCUUAAUUAUAAGGCACUACCUAAAUAGUUUUCGGGGAGAACCAGCUAUCUCCGAGUUUGUUUGGCCUUUCACCCCUAUCCACACCUCAUCUCCUAAUUUUGCAACAUUAGUGAGUUCGGGCCUCCAAUUAGUAUUACCUAAUCUUCACCCUGGACAUGGAUAGAUCACUCGGUUUCGGGUCUAAUCCUAUCGACUAAACGCGCUAUUAACACUCGGUUUCCCUACGGCUCCUCUAAAAUUUUCAAUUAACCUUGCCAAUAAAAUUAACUCGCUGACCCAUUAUACAAAAGGUACGCAGUCACAAUUUAAAAUUGCUCCUACUGCUUGUAUGCAUAUGGUUUCAGGUUCUAUUUCACUUCCCUAAUAGGGGUUCUUUUCGCCUUUCCCUCACGGUACUAGUUCACUAUCGGUCAAUAGGUAGUAUUUAGCCUUGGAGGAUGGUCCCCCCAUAUUCAAUCAAUAUUUCACGUGUAUCGAUCUACUUAUCAACACCAACAAUUUAUUAUAUUUCAAAUACAGGACUAUCACCUUUUAUAGUUAAUCUUUCCAGAUUAUUCUUUUAUAUAAUAAAACUGAUACAGUGUUUAGGCUUUUCCAAUUUCGCUCGCCACUACUUUCAGAAUCUCAAUUUGAUUUCUUUUCCUCUGGGUACUUAGAUGUUUCAGUUCCCCAGGUUCGCUUUUUAUAACUAUAUAUUCAUUAUAAAAUACCAGAUAAACUGGUAGGUUUCCCUAUUCGGAGAUCCCCGGAUCAAAAUGUAUUUGGUCAUUACCCGAGGCUUAUCGCAUCCUAUCACGUCCUUCAUCGCCUUCUAUUGCCAAGGCAUCCGCCAUAUGCACUUAAUUUCUUUA
rnacentral:rRNA from 1 species